GCUCAAGCGAUACUCCUGCUUAAGUGUUGAAAUUAUAGACAUGAGCCACUUUGCCCAGCCCUAGCACUUUGUUGACGCUAAAUAAGUGUCUGUUGAAUGAAUGAAUGAAUGAAUGAAUGAAUGAAUGGAAAAGGGAUAUGCAAAAAUAUCUCUAUCCUUCCACUAUUAGGGAAAUCUUUUGUAACUUUGAGAUUAUAAAACAGAAGAUUUGGUUUACCUACAGGGCCCAACAUUUAGCUUCUUUCUCUGAGGUUCUUAAUUUUUUUGUGUGUCACAAACCCCUUUGGUGUCUGAUAAAACCUAUAGAACCCCUUAGAAUGAAGUUUUAAAUGUUAAAAGAUGAAUGUAUGGGAUCACAAAGAAAACAUUUCUAUUAAAAUACAGUUAUUUGAAUAUUUUAAGAAAUGCAUAGAUAUACUUGUUCAUUAACACAUUAAAUAACAAGAUCUGUCAGGUCUCAUUAAUUACUGUAAUUUCAAAGCCAUGAUGAGCUUAAUGACAUUUAAAAAUCUCUGCAACAACUGUAAUAGAUCUAAAAAUAUCUAUGAUUUUCUUCUGUUGACAAAGUCACAAAACUGCUAACACUAGUAUGGCCUGUUGCCUGCUCCAUUUAUCAUCUAAGUGACAACUAAAGAUUAGUGCAACAAAGAUGCCUUUUAUUUUUCCCCAUCCAAAUUUAUGAAGCCGCUGAAUUCCAUCCCUGGUUAUGAACUUCCUCAGCACCCUUACCUGCUAUUCUUGCAAAGGCUGUGGUCGCUGAGGAAGAGGCGUACCUGAGACCAGGUCCUCCUGAGCCUGUGAGUGAAACCACUGCGGGAAGGUCAGGUGGGGAAACCCAGUUACUGGAGUUGAGAAUAAUUUUGGUUCUUUGGUUGCAGAAGGAAAUGGUAGAGACAAGUCAUUUGCUUUGCCUAAGACCGUGCAGGAUUUGUCUCCAGAAAAAAAUGACUGGGCUCAGAAGCUCUAAUGGGUUGAAUAGGCUCCUGGCUUGGUGGCUUUUAUCAGGCCUCUGGAUUUUCUCCUUUCUCCUCGGCAGACAAGAGCUCAGUGAAACCCUGGGAUAAACACCUUAGCAGUCAGUUGAAGCAUUUUGUUUGUUUGCCUAUUUGUCUUCUGGGCUGUGUAUCAAAUUAGAGAUGAGGAGAAAAGACCAAUAAAACCUCGAGUUGAUUGAGAGUGUGUGGAAACACACAGGACUUCCGCAUUUGGCUUCACAUUUCUUCACGGCGGUUUGGCAACGUAUACCCCAAACCUUAAAUCUGUGCAUACACUUCGGUCUAGUAAUCCGGCUGCUACAAUGUUUUCUUACGAAAAUAAUUAUUUUUCAUAAAGAUAUGUCUACAAAAUUUUUAUUGGUAUUUUAAACAAUAAUAAAAAAAUAGAAUAUUAAAACACAAACAAUCCAAGCAAAAGAAGAAAAAAAGAAGAAACCAUUUACAACAUAUUACAAAAAGUGCAAAACCAAAUGCUGCCAAGAUUCAAAAGAGUAUUACAGUACAACAGCAAUUUGGAAAGCUAAAACAAAUAUACAUAAAAAAUGCUAGAAGCACUUACACGAAAUGUUAACAGUGGUCAUCUUUGCCUGGUGGGACUCCUGAUGAGUAUUAUUUCCUCCAUGUGCUCUUCUAGGUUUUCUAAAGUUCUUGCAGUGCGCAUGUAUUAUGUAGCUCAGCUAAAUGUGUUUAUUUUUGAGAAUAUGAAUGCUAAGUUCGUGUCUGAAAGAAGGACCAGUGCAUUUGCUCCAAAAAAUCAUUUCUCCACAAAAUUAGAGCUCAAUUCAAAUCUAUCAUCUGUCUCCUAACAGUGUGAAUUCAAUAAGACAACCUGGUUUUGGCGGGGGGUGGUGGGGUUGUUUGUUUUUGAGACAGACUCUCCCUCUGUCACCCGGGCUGGAGUGCAGUGGCAGGAUCCUUGAUCCUCAAUGAGAUAACUUGGAAAGGUCUGGAUGGGAGUUGACCUGGUGGCUCCCGUCUUGAGGCUCCUCCUGCCACUAAAUAAGAGCAGCAAGAUGUGAAGCAGGUCCUGCCCAGCUCUCCCAUUUACUGUUGUUAUAAGCAAGCAAGCCUUCUGGGCUGCCAUCUGCACUGUGACGUGGACAUGAGAGUGGUGAGUGUCUCCUGGGGCUUAAGGACUACUGGGCUCAUUGGACCCCUCCACACUCCAGAGCUCUCACUUCCUCCUUCUCACCUGGAGGAGGCAGGCAUGGCAGCAGGAGGACCCAGGUGACUCCGGCAGGGAACACAGGCUCAUCUCGCUAAAACUGUAGCCUUCUGGAAUUCGCUAACUUUACAUGUUUGAAAUUCCUGAUGCUCUGCUUCGGCCUUACAAACCUUUCCUUUCAGAGGCUGAUCACAUCUCAGUUGUAAAUAAUAUUUAGGGUACCUUUGUGCCUUCACUAUACAAAUCUCCAGCUGUCGUUUUCAUCAGACAGAGCAAAUCAUUUGUGGCUCCCUCCAGGACCACUGGGCCCCUCUCUGCUCCACCAUCAACAGGCAGAUUCCAACCAUUCUUCCCAGUGUGGCCGAGGGAGGCCCUUCAGAGGCUGAGAAAUCCCACGAUCUGCUGUCUGCAAGCUGGAGGACCCCAGAAGCUGGUGGUGUAAUUCAGCACGAGUCUGAAGGCUUGAAAACCCGGCGCUCCGACAUCCAAAGUCAGGAGAAGAUGGAUACAUCAGCUCAAGCAGAGAGAGCGAACUCUUCCUUCCUCUGUCUUGGUUCUACUCUGGCCCUCAGUGGACUGGGUGAGGCCCACUGACACUGGGGAGGGCCACCUGCUUUACUCAGCUCACCAAUUCAAAUGCUGAUCAUUUCCAGAAACCCUCACAGACACUCCCGGAAAUCAUGCUUUACCAUCCAUCUGGACAUCCCUUAGCCCAGUCAAGUUGACCCGUCAAAUUAAGGAUCACAACGCCUCUCAUUCUUUCCUUCACUCCACCUAUGCAUCUGUAUGUGAUGAGAUCUCUGUGAAACUACUCUGUAUACUGUAUAGCUCUAGAUACCAUAACAUAGUUCCCACUGCCUGGGAGCAGAGAAAGGCAAGUAAACAAUGAUCAUCUAGAGAAAGUCCUGGGUGAGUGUGAGUUUAAGGGGCAGCCCGCUGGAGCUAAAGAGGAAGUGACUAGCUCUGCUGGAGAUGAGGGGAGGGAGGGAAUACCAAGGGGAAGGAAGGAAGAGAGGUGUAAAAGCAGAGCCACGUGAAUCGGGACAGCCUGUCAGGGAACUGGGUCUUGCAGCCAAAGCCGAGGCUGCUCACCAUAGAAGAGGCUGGCAACAUGGCAGGCGGCAGGCUCCGGGGCCACCAAGAGAGCUGAGGCAGGCAGGUGAGCCUGCGCCCAGACUCCCCUUUAGGAAUCCCAUGUUGAUGUUCGUGAGGCAGUGUGGGUUAGAGGCCAGAGCCUGGGCAGGGGCCACAGCUGAUACUGCAGCACAGAGGCCACUUGGACAGCUGUAGCCAUGUGCACUGGCAGGAGGGAGCGGGUCUGAGAAAUAUUUAGGAAUGAAAGGGUGGAUGGAAUAUGAUGGGUUGGGAAAGGAAGGGAGAGCCAAAAACGACUGGUACUGUGCGGGCAACCUGCGUGCUCCGGGUCACGAAGCUGAGUUCAGUUUUGAGGUGGUUAUGGGACAGCCCUGCGGGGAAACCAGCAGUUGGUCGUUGGGAUUUAGAGCUGGAGAUAGGGAGGAGCCUGGGCUGCUGCUGAGCUUCACGGAUAACACUGUCCUGGGGAAGGGGUCCUGCCGCAUCCCAGUGCACUGCCUAUAACUGUGGGCAGUUCUUUUCCUCUCUCUGUGCCCUGGCUUCCUCCUCUGUAGUGUGGAAUGCAUUAGGUUGGUGAGGAUUGAAUGAGCCACGCUCAGUGCGUGUUAGCUAUUGUUAUGACCGUUUGGGACUCUACAGGUCGUAAGUGGUGGCUGAAACCUUAGGUGGAUGCGACAGCCCCGGAAGAGAAUUGUGAGUGAGCGGGGAGAGGCCCCAGGACAGCGAUGAGCCUCGGCGGGGAAGAAAGUUUUCUCACUCUGAUUUUGAGUGUGAUGCAGAGGGGCUGUGGUUUAAAAUCUCUUUAAAAUAAAUUCUCACCAGACCUAUAGCUAAGCAUAUAAAAAACUGAGUUUUACAAGCAA